UACGUAGGGUGCGAGCGUUGUCCGGAAUUAUUGGGCGUAAAGGGCUCGUAGGCGGUUUGCCGCGUCAGGAGUGAAAACUCGGGGCUUAACCCCGAGCCUGCUUCUGAUACGGGCAGACUAGAGGUAUGCAGGGGAGAACGGAAUUCCUGGUGUAGCGGUGAAAUGCGCAGAUAUCAGGAGGAACACCGGUGGCGAAGGCGGUUCUCUGGGCAUUACCUGACGCUGAGGAGCGAAAGUGUGGGGAGCGAACAGG
rnacentral:rRNA from 1 species